rnacentral:rRNA from 1 species
CGGCACCUAGUGGGUAGUGAAUGAGACAUUUAAAUCUUGAUUGAGUACCAAUUAGAGGGCAAGCCUGGUGCCAGCAGCCGCGGUAAUUCCAGCUCUAAUAGCGUAUAUUAAAGUUGUUGCAGUUGAAAAGCUCGUAGUUGAACUUUUGUUAGGUCCUCGACAGGUCAUUUAUGGCAGUGAAGCCAUCUUUUUGCCAUGGAAAUCAUCAUU